UACGUAGGCAGCGAGCGUUGUUCGGAGUUACUGGGCGUAAAGGGUGCGCAGGCGGUGGAGCAAGUCUGUUGUGAAAUCUCCCGGCUUAACCGGGAGGGUGCGGCGGAAACUGUUCUGCUGGAGUGAGGGAGAGGCAAGCGGAAUUCCUGGUGUAGUGGUGAAAUGCGUAGAUAUCAGGAGGAACACCCGUGGUGCAGACGGCUUGCUGGACCUCCACUGACGCUGAGGCACGAAAGCGUGGGGAGCAAACAGG
rnacentral:rRNA from 1 species